UGAUGUGGGAAGUGGUAAGAAAUGAAC
rnacentral:piRNA from 1 species